ACUAGGUUCAAGUAAGAAGCAUAUUAAAAAUAUGGCAAAUGGCUCCUAGAUAAGGAGGAUGCAAAUUCCAACUUCAAUUUGCAGUGCUAAACCAGCACUAGAGGCGGAAUGGGGCUUCCCUGCAUCCUCUGUUCAGUUCAGCCUUUUUGGUGCAUUUGAAGCCCUCGCAGCAUCUGCACUGCUCAGUUGUCUCACAGUCCUGUUUGAGUCACAGCACUGCACACCACCAGCGCUGAUGGAGAGAAAGACUGAUCUCUGGUGGUAAAGCUUCUUGCCUGCUUACAGACUUUUGCAGCCUUCUGCAUUAGCAGAAAAGGAAUAGAUUAAAAAAAAAAA